rnacentral:rRNA from 1 species
GACGGAGGAUGCAAGUGUUAUCCGGAAUCACUGGGCGUAAAGCGUCUGUAGGUGGUUUAAUAAGUCAACUGUUAAAUCUUGAGGCUCAACCUCAAAAUCGCAGUCGAAACUAUUAGGCUAGAGUAUAGUAGGGGUAAAGGGAAUUUCCAGUGGAGCGGUGAAGUGCGUAGAGAUUGGAAAGAACACCGAUGGCGAAGGCACUUUACUGGGCUAUUACUAACACUCAGAGACGAAAGCUAGGGUAGCAAAUGGG